GCUAAUACCGGAUACGACUCCCGGGGGCAUCCCCGGGGGUGGAAAGCUCCGGCGGUGCAGGAUGAGCCCGCGGCCUAUCAGCUGGUUGGUGAGGUAACGGCUCACCAAGGCGACGACGGG
rnacentral:rRNA from 1 species